CAGAGUUGCAAAACUCCCUAAACCAUUGUGAACAAUACCUUACACCGUUGCUUCGGCGGGCGGUCCCGGGGAUCUCCCGGGCCCGUCGCCCCUCGCGGGCGCCCGCCGGAGGUACCUAACUCUUGACCUUUGUAUGGCCUCUCUGAGUCUCUGUACUUAAUAAGUCA
rnacentral:misc_RNA from 1 species